rfam:Babesia equi strain WA chromosome 3, complete sequence.
AAUCAGGCUUCACUUGAAGCCAUCUAAUUUUUACCUCACAUACAUGU